GACCAAGGUAGCUAGAGCGUUAGAGCGUCCGCCUCGGAUGCGGGUGGUCACGGGUUCGAACUCCGACAUAGUCA